rfam:Cricetulus griseus cell line CHO-K1, whole genome shotgun sequence.
UAGCUCAGUGAGUAAAGUACUUGCCUUGGAAGCUUGAGAACCUGGGUUCAAUUCCCAG